GGGGGAUGUCGGCAAUGUGGGCAUUGAUCUAUUCUUUGAGAUGUUGUUUGAAAGCUUGUCUAAGGUUGAUGAGCAUCGUGUAAUAUCAGUUCCUUACCCUGCAAUGGAGCUUGAUAUCAAUAUAAACCCUCAUCUUCCUUCUGAGUACAUAAACCAUUUGGAGAACCCCAUGCAAAUCAUCAAUAGCGCUGAAAAAGCAGCUGAAAAGGACAUUUUCAACCUGAUGCAAUUUACGGAAAAUCUGAGGCGUCAGUAUGGCAAAGAACCUUACUCUAUGGAAAUCCUAUUGAAAAAGCUUUAUGUCAGAAGAAUGGCAGCAGAUUUAGGAAUUACCAGCAUUUAUGCUUCAGGAAAGAUGGUUGGCAUGAAAACAAACAUGUCAAAAAAGGUUUUCAAGUUGAUAACGGAUUCAGCAACUUCAGAUAUUCAUCAAAAUUCUCUGAUAUUUGAAGAUGGCCAAAUAAAGGCUGAACUGCUCUUGGAGCUACCUAAAGAACAGUUGCUGAAUUGGAUCUUCCAAUGCCUCGCAGAAUUAUAUUCUUCAUUGCCGACCUUGAUAAAAUAUUAGUCCUUUCAAUGAACUGUGAUUCUUACAUCAUCUAGUAGGCAGCCCCACGGUCCAUUGCCCAUCGCUAUAAUAGGGUACUGGGGAGUGCUUUAAUUAAGAGCGUUAGAAGCUUGUCUCUCAUCAGCAGCUGUCCCCACAUGUACAGUAUGAAAACUUGAGAUAGAUCUGUAUCAUAUAUUCAAGCUGAUUGUGUUAACCAACUGGCACUUUCCAUUCCUCGCGGGCAG
rnacentral:misc_RNA from 1 species